UAGGGAAUCUUCGGCAAUGGGGGCAACCCUGACCGAGCAACGCCGCGUGAGUGAAGAAGGUUUUCGGAUCGUAAAGCUCUGUUGUAAGUCAAGAACGAGUGUGAGAGUGGAAAGUUCACACUGUGACGGUAGCUUACCAGAAAGGGACGGCUAACUACGUGCCAGCAGCCGCGGUAAUACGUAGGUCCCGAGCGUUGUCCGGAUUUAUUGGGCGUAAAGCGAGCGCAGGCGGUUUGAUAAGUCUGAAGUUAAAGGCUGUGGCUCAACCACAGUUCGCUUUGGAAACUGUCAAACUUGAGUGCAGAAGGGGAGAGUGGAAUUCCAUGUGUAGCGGUGAAAUGCGUAGAUAUAUGGAGGAACACCGGUGGCGAAAGCGGCUCUCUGGUCUGUAACUGACGCUGAGGCUCGAAAGCGUGGGGAGCGAACAGGAUUAGAUACCCUGGUAGUCCACGCCGUAAACGAUGAGUGCUAGGUGUUGGAUCCUUUCCGGGAUUCAGUGCCGCAGCUAACGCAUUAAGCACUCCGCCUGGGGAGUACGACCGCAAGGUUG
rnacentral:rRNA from 1 species